UACGAAGGGGGCUAGCGUUGCUCGGAAUUACUGGGCGUAAAGGGCGCGUAGGCGGACAGUUAAGUCAGAGGUGAAAGCCCAGGGCUCAACCCUGGAAUUGCCUUUGAUACUGGCUGUCUUGAGUGCGGGAGAGGUGUGUGGAAUGCCGAGUGUAGAGGUGAAAUUCGUAGAUAUUCGGCGGAACACCAGUGGCGAAGGCGACUCACUGGCCCGAUACUGACGCUGAGGCGGCGAAA
rnacentral:rRNA from 1 species